GUCAGUUUCAGUAACUACCCAAAGUAAGUGAUCUUUUUAUCCUGCUAGAUAAAAACUGCAUUUCAAGUCUAUGGCUUAAAUGGAUGGGCAUCAAAUGCCAUGCAGGCUCAGGCCCUGGGGAUGCACCCAUGAAUAUUGCAAGGACGGGCGACUAUUGUCUUGAGCGGAGCGAUUGCGUGUUGUGUCUGUGUGUUUGUGAUGCUUUUGGUGUUAGUGUUCGUCAUGCCACGACGCCGAGCCAAGCUGGAGAAAUUGUGCGCGUGCAGUCAACGGCCGGACAUCCUUGCUGUCCAUAGGCACAUGCUGUCGUGCGCCGUACCGUCUUGCGGCUACGUGCCCGUCAAAGUUGAGACGCAGGCGGAGAAGCCAGUAGGCUAGCACCUGUACUGGGCGGCGCUACCAGGAGCAGCCACGACCCCUGCUGCCCAGCGUUCAAUGACCCGCAGAGGUGCAAGCACGGAAAAGAAGCCUACAAAAACAUCAUGGACGCCUCCCAGCUCUUCGAUGGCCAGCGGAAGUGUUAUUCAUCCCUGCCUUCCACGCAGUAGAGGUUUGCGACCCGGUGGGUGGAGGUCUUCUCCGUCAAAGUCGCCUGGAAGGAGCGAGAAGCACAGGCAGGUGACAGUGCUGGCCCACGACGAGACCCACGCGGCCGAGAGCGGUACGGCGAAGUGCUGUGGGAAGGCCACGUGCACCUCACUCGCGGCACGGAUGGCCAGCGCUUCAGGACGUCCUUCAUAGAGACUUCAUGCGGUAAUUGUGUGCCACAGUUGGCGUCUUCGCAGGGCCAAUGAGUGGUAGUGGAAGUGACCCCUCUGAGAAAUGCAUGUCGUAACGACACCGCGUCGACGCCCAAGCGAUCACUUUGUAAUCGGGUGGGUGACGACAUACGCCGUUGCGACACUCAUUUCUCAGAGGGGUGUAACUCUGUGUUUCACCCAUGGGCUACACUCAGGGAUAACCUCGGUCUGCAGUCUGGCUCUGGUGUCACAUGUGGCCCUCCCCCGCACACCGGGGAGCGGUGGCGUGGCGUCGCGCUAUUAUUAAAGCUGUUAUGUAUU